GGGUAGAGGUGGGACGCCGAUGCAUAGUCCCACCUACAGCCUGAGUCUAUCCCAUCCACCCGUAGCCACCGCUGCCAACCUUUUCCUCGGGAUACAUCCCGAACGCCCAACUACAAGCUACUCUGUCAUCUUGGCCUCCUGCUGCAGCCUCCGACCACCUCUCUCAUCUUGCGCGCCCGUCCAAUCGAGUUGGUCAUUGCCUCGAGCACCUCACGUAGCUGCAGCUCCUCCCUAGCGGUCGCUCGUUUGUGCCCGAGUACAUGCAGGUAGAGGAGCCAGCCGCCUGAGACUCCUCGCUCCUCCUGAAAAACUAGGACGCCAUGGAUGUGCCAUCUCGACCCUGCCGUUCAGCGACCUGCCUGCAGGAACCGUUGCGCCCAUGCCCAUCUCCUCUCUACGUUCCUUCUUUCUCCUCCCUGGCUCUCUCACACACUACACAUCUCUCUGUUCUCUCUUUCUCCAGAAUCUCCCAAGAACGCAUGAACACAGCCGGGGAUGCAGCGCCGCCCGAAGCCACCUCGUCACCAUGAAUGGAUUCCCCAUGCCUGGAUCCGUCAAACCCCACUGCCACCUAAUGAUUUUCUCGUCGUCUGAGCUUCUCCAAGCCACCGCUGCCUCUAACUCGCCUGCGAAGCACCCCGAAGGCCUCUGAUUCAUGAGUGUGUUGACCAUUUCCUGCCUCCCCAAAUCGUCGGGCGCUCGAUUGUGUCCUCGCUCUUCUGGUCCGCAGCAUCACCAAAGCCAGCUGCCCCAACGAGCCUCUACCUCACCGAUGACAGAUGGAACAUUGGAAAUUCGGUUGUUCCACUAGAAGAAAGAUUCCCUAGGCUCUUCUCAUAUGUGAAGGAUCCAUGAACAAUGGUCAAGGAGGGGCUCGAGAGUUCUAAUCUGUUAAGAUGGUUUAAUCUGCGUAUGUCCGAUCAAACGUUUGCAGAGCUUGCAUUGCUCCAAUCCUUCAUGCAUGAAGUUAAAUUUCAGGAGGACCUUUUGGAUGUUUGGGCUUGGCAGGGUACAACUAAGUCCUAUACACCAAAGAUGUUUUAUACAUAUGCCCAUAGAACACAUACUUUCAAUCCUCUGCACAACUGGAUUUGGACUAGUUCUUGUAUUUUGAACCUUAAAGUUUUUGCUUGGAUGCUCGUUAUGGAUAGGAUCAAUACAAAGGAUAUGGUGGAGACAAGACACAAGCAUUUGGAUGAUGGUGUUAACAGCAAAAUCUGACAUGCACAGGUCAGGGAACACAGAAACAACUUGUUCUUUUCCUCCUUGUUUAGCCAAAGGGUUUGGAAUUAUCUACAAAUUGAUUCGGGAAGUAGCAAUGAUAUUGCAGCUACUGCCUUAUAUGCCAAAAGAGAGUUUGGCAAACCUUUGUUCUCAGAGGUUGUGUUUACUUCAUGUUGGCAUUUUUGGCUUGCCAGAAAUGCUAAAGUCUUCAGGAACAUUAUACCCAGAUUUGCUAUUUGGAAAACAUGCUUUGUAACACAUAUUUCCCUCUUGGCUUAUAUAAUAAAACCCAGGUUUAAUGAGGACCUUGUAAGGUGGGUUUCAUUCUUGCCCCCCCCCCUUGAAUCCCUUCUUUUCUUUCCUUCCCCCAAGGGAUAGAUAGAUUAGACUUUUUUCUCUUUGGCUUACCAUGGCAACCUUGUACAUAUUUAUGUUCCUUGUUCUUUUGGCAAUAUAAUUUUGAAGGCUAUGAGGGGGAGGUUCUCCCUA